GACGAACGCUGGCGGCGUGCCUAAUACAUGCAAGUUGAGCGCUGAAGGUUGGUACUUGUACCAACUGGAUGAGCAGCGAACGGGUGAGUAACGCGUGGGGAAUCUGCCUUUGAGCAGGGGACAACAUUUGGAAACGAAUGCUAAUACCGCAUAAAAACUUUAAACACAAGUUUUAAGUUUGAAAGAUGCAAUUGCAUCACUCAAAGAUGAUCCCGCGUUGUAUUAGCUAGUUGGUGAGGUAAAGGCUCACCAAGGCGAUGAUACAUAGCCGACCUGAGAGGGUGAUCGGCCCCAUUGGGACUGAGACACGGCCCAAACUCCUACGGGAGGCAGCAGUAGGGAAUCUUCGGCAAUGGACGAAAGUCUGACCGAGCAACGCCGCGUGAGUGAAGAAGGUUUUCGGAUCGUAAAACUCUGUUGGUAGAGAAGAACGUUGGUGAGAGUGGAAAGCUCACCAAGUGACGGUAACUACCCAGAAAGGGACGGCUAACUACGUG
rnacentral:rRNA from 1 species